rnacentral:rRNA from 1 species
AAACAAUUUAUAGUUAAUGUAUCAUAAUUAUUAUGAAAUUGUUUGUAGAAAUGAGAUGUUAUUCGUUUCCUAAAAUAUCUAGUUUCUUAAGAAAAAAUUUAAUUUUUUAUAGUUUUCUUGUUUUUAUUUAAUUAUUUAGAUGAAAAUGUGAACUAAUUUAUUCUUUUGGGGAUAAGCUCUAAAGUUUUUAACCUAUAAUUUAUUGAUUAUUAGAAUAUAAUAGUAAGCUUUAAACCAGCUAUCUAUUGGAUUACGUUUUAGUUCAUUGUUCUUUUUCUUGAUUUUAUAAUUAUUUUAGGUUUUUUAUUAAGAUAAUCAAUUUAAUUUUAAAAUUUUGGUAAUAAUGAUGGAAUUAGUAUAUUUAUUUUGUUUAUAAUAUCUGUUUUGUUAAUUUAUUAUAAGGAACUAGGCAAAAUUGAUUUCCGCCUGUUUAUCAAAAACAUGUCCUCUUGAUAAUAUUAUGAGGUCUGGCCUGCUCACUGACGAGUUUUGAAGAGCCGCGGUAUUUUGACCGUGCAAAGGUAGCAUAAUCAUUAGUCUCUUAAUUAGGGGCUGGAAUGAAUGGCUUGACGAGAAAUCAACUGUCUCUUAAUAAAUUCUAGAAUUUAACUUUUGAGUCAAAAGGCUUAAAUUUUUCUUUAGGACGAGAAGACCCUAUAGAGCUUGACAUCUUACUUUUAUAUAGUUUUUAGUUGGUCUUUCUAUAUAAAAUGAUAAUGUUUUGUUGGGGUGACAUGAAGAAUAAAUAAACUCUUCAUUAUAUAAUCAUUAAUUUAUGUUUAUUAUGAUCCAUAAUUUAUGAUCACAAGAUUGAGUUACCUUAGGGAUAACAGCGUAAUUGUUUUUGAGAGCUCAUAUCGACAAAACAGAUUGCGACCUCGAUGUUGGAUUAAGAAAAAUGUUGG